GUCGAGCGCGAAAGAGGAGCAAUCCUCGAGUAGAGCGGCGAAAGGGUGAGUAACACGUUCCUACGUGCCUUGAGGUCAGGGAUAGCCAGGGGAAACUCUGGGUAAUACCUGAUGUGGUCCCCAUGUAAAAGUGGGGAUCAAAGGCUUGCCGCCUCAAGAGCGGGGAACGUCCUAUCAGGUAGUUGGUGAGGUAACGGCUCACCAAGCCUUUGACGGGUAGCGGGUGUGAGAGCAUGGCCCGCCACAUCGGAACUGAGACACUGUCCGGACUCCUACGGGAGGCUGCGGUAACGAAUCUUCCGCAAUGCGCGCAAGCGUGACGGAGCAAUGCCGCGUGCAGGAUGAAGCCCUUCGGGGUGUAAACUGCUGUCAGGUUUUAGGAACACAAUGACCAAAGCCAAAGGAAGAGACGACUAACUCUGUGCCAGCAGUCGCGGUAAUACAGAGGUCUCGAGCGUUAGUCGGAGUCACUGGGCUUAAAGCGUACGUAGGCGGAUAUGCAGGCGUCGUGUGAAAUCCCUUGGCUCAACCAAGGAACUGCACGGCGAACCGCAUGUCUUGAGAUCGGUAGGGGCGGUCGGAACGAUAGGUGGAGUGGUGAAAUGCGUUGAUAUCUAUCGGAACGCCGAAGGUGAAGACAGGCCGCUGGGCCGAUUCUGACGCUGAGGUACGAAAGCGUGGGGAGCGAACGGGAUUAGAUACCCCGGUAGUCCACGCCGUAAACGAUAUGCACUAGAUCGAGGAGGUUCUGACACCAUUCUCGGUCGAAGUCAAAACGCUGAGUGCACCGCCUGGGGAGUACGGUCGCAAGGCUAAAACUCAAAGGAAUUGACGGGGGCUCACACAAGCGGUGGAGCAUGUGGCUCAAUUCGAAGCAACGCGAAGAACCUUAUCCUAGGCUUGACAUGUAUGGAUUAGUUUGGUGAAAGCCAACGACACUCUGUAGUGAACAUACACAGUGCUGCAUGCUGUCGUCAGC
rnacentral:rRNA from 1 species